GAGACUGCCAGGGAUCAACCUGGAGGAAGGGUGGGGAUGACGUCAAAUCAUCAUGCCCCUUAUGAACCUGGGCUACACACGUGCAUACAAUGGCCUAGUACAAAGGGAAGCCAAACCCUGCGAGAGCGCGAGCCAAAUCCCCAGAAAAUACGUCUCAGUUCGGACUUGUAGUCUGCAACUCGACUACAUGAAGCUGGAAUCGCUAGUAUUCGCGGAUCAG
rnacentral:rRNA from 1 species